GACUUGUGUAUUCCUAGGUUUUGGUAUACUGAGCUGGUCCUGGAACCAACCCCCUUGUACGCUGAUGGACGACUGCCUAAUGAACAGGGGCCAGUGCUUGAAAUUGCCAUCAUACCCUCUCUAUUUAUCCCAUAUGUCCACUAUGAGGCAUAAUAGAACCAGUUGGAAGAGUCUGCCAACCUUCCACUCUGUGAACAGAGAAGUAGACGACACUUUAGAAAGAGUGAAUAUCUUCUGUCCAUAAAUAGCUUCUUUGUCCAAAAAAUCAAAGAAGAGACUCUUUUGAUUAUUCUAGAAAUAUAUUCU
rnacentral:lncRNA from 1 species